rnacentral:snoRNA from 13 species
CCAACGUGGAUACCCCGGGAGGUCACUCUCCCCGGGCUCUGUCCAGGUGGCAUAGGGGAGCAUAGGGCUCUGCCCCGUGAUGUACAGUCCCUUUCCACGACGUUGGAGAAGAAGCCGGGCCUUGUGUCUGCGCCUGCAUAUUCCUACAACUUCUCAGAGUCCUUUGGACAGUGACUGAGGAGAUAAACCAUGCAGGAAACAGUC